GGCCUCCUAAUGCUUACUAAAGGUUGUGUUCUUUACACUUACAGUAUAGAAAGAGGAGGUACAGCAAAUGCACCCCAUAUACACCCCAUAUACAGGCCCUUUGCCUAGUCUGUGUUGUCAAUGGGGGGACAAAA